rfam:Trichobilharzia regenti genome assembly, scaffold: TRE_scaffold0033690
CCAACGGAUCUUUUAAGAUCCAUUGAUAAAAGAAACCCUUUUAGG